UCCGAACAGCUGCAAGGAAGUCUGCCUUAUUGCUGCGAUUUGAGCAAGAAUUAUAUGGCGCUAGGAAAGGCCUGCCUCCGAUCAGAGAAGCAGCGAUGCGGCCAUUUCUGCGAUACACAACGGACUCUGUUUUAAUCAGAGGUAGAUGCAUUUUUGUUAAUAGUGUUUUCCCUUGCAGUGAGACACUCGCGAGCCUCCAAGCACUUUGCAGAGUCGGGGGAAGGCCCUCAGCGGAGCUGGUAUGUGGUUGUGUUGCAGCCGUGGAGCAGGUCCUGAGGCCGGUGCUUGCCUCCCCCCUGGGCAGACCUCGUCGGGCAGGAGGAGGCAGCGAGCCCCUCGGUGCCGGCAGCAUCCCACCGGGUGCACAGAGCUGCAGCCCUGCCGCCUGCUCCUGCCAGAGCCUUGCGUCGAGUGCGCUGCACUGGGAGAUGCUCUUGUCUGCGAGGAGGCUCUGGGGGUGUGGGGCAUGGGGUGAGGCGAGGGAGGCUUCUCCGUACCCAGGGAGAGUUUUGGAGCAGUCAUCUCCUGCUGCGAGCGGGUGACAGCAGCGGUGCUGCUACCAUCUGUUGGUGAGCAGCAGGAAGGGAGCGACCACAAACCCGUCCGUAGCUCGCAUCCCGCGUGGCGCUGGGGAGGGUGCUGCCAGGACCUCGCUGAAGGGUUGGGUCAGACAUGUCCCUGGGGACGGUCCCAAAGGGCUGUCAGAAUUCUGGGUCUCCAAGCAUAUUAUGACACAAAUGCCAUUUAGGAUGGGUCUGAGAGGAGGUUUAGGAACUGCGGUCACAGUGAUGGAACGCUUGGGAAGCAUCUCCCGGCAUCUCCCCUCUGCUCCCUGGUUCUCUGGCAGUGAUGGCAGGGACCCGACCGAUGUAGUCCUCCUGGAAAAAGCACGAGGUUUAUGGCUGUGGAUGUAUGUAUCAGAGGAUGCACAUGUAAUUUGCACAAGAGUAAUGGACUAGAGCCCUCUAAAAGGAGAGGACCAUGUUCAUGGCUAAAAGUAGGAAAGUAUGUUAAAAAAGAAAACUGGCGCUGCAUCUGUGCAGCUCCCAAAAUACUAAGGGUGAGGUUCUGAAAAGGCCCGAACUCACUGGGAAUUCAUUUCCACGGGAAGUCGACAGGAGCCCAGCGCUGAGCUGGCCUGACCUCAUCGGAGAGCACCAGUGCGGUGCCUGCUGCGUGUGCCAGGCACGGUGGCAGCGCCUCGCAGAGCCCACGUGGGAUCCCCGGCGUGAGCAAAACUUCCCCGAGGCCUGGCUGGCCCGUGCGGCGCCAGGAGGAGCCAGUCCUCGCUUAGCCAGGCUCACACGGCACUCUGCAAAAGGGGGCUAGUGGAAACCUCGCAUCUUUCUGCUAUUGAUGGCUUGUGAGGGUAUGACUCCAGCAGAGUGUGGUCAAAUAGAUUAACUUCAUUAAAGAUUCAUCACCGAGUAACUGGACAUUUAAUGUACCUGUACGGCUAGCGUAGCAGCUCUGCACUUUGAUUAACAAUUUUCCUCACUCAGAGAAACGACGCUCGCAUGCAGUAAAACAGUUUUCUGUCCCAAAAUCCAGUGGCAGUGCGAUCGUCGUUAGCGAGGACCGGUUAAUUUUAGGCAGUGCACCCUGUGCAGAGCAGCAGAGGCUCCGUGCGGCAGCGGGGUCGCUGUGCUGCCCGUGUGGUUCAAACCAGACGCGUGUGCCCGCGGGAGAGCUGGGUCCCUGCCAGCACGGGCACAGCAAGUGCCCCGGCCCCAGGGGGCUGGUGCCAGGCGGUGCCGCCACGGGCUCUCGGCCUCGCCGGCUUUUGUUGGGAGCGUGCUGGGAGCGUUUGGGGUUCGCAAACCUAAAGCCCGCGUGUGCUGCUUGAAUCCCCGAGCCCCUUUGUGCUCGGAGCAGGCUGCGCCUCGGAGGCGACGGGCUCCUGUCGCUGGCGUGAAUGAAGGCGGUCGAUGCGCGGCCGAGCCAGGCGGGAUGGCGCAGCGCUCGCGUGAGCGGGGCUGGCCGCUGCUCCCUGCCGCCGGCUGCAAAGCUAGAGCUGCCAGCGCUGCGUGCUGCUCUCCCGCCCUCCUCUUCCCCCCGCCGUGCCGCCGCUUUCUCACAGCUCCCGCUGCUUCAUUUUCCUCCCCCAGCUCCGGUUGCCAUGACCCGCCAGGCUGGCCGCCGGCAGGAAUUCGUGCC